rnacentral:rRNA from 1 species
GACAGAGGAUGCAAGCGUUAUCCGGAAUGAUUGGGCGUAAAGCGUCUGUAGGUGGCUUUUUAAGUCCGCCGUCAAAUCCCAGGGCUCAACCCUGGACAGGCGGUGGAAACUACCAAGCUGGAGUACGGUAGGGGCAGAGGGAAUUUCCGGUGGAGCGGUGAAAUGCGUAGAGAUCGGGGAAGAACGCCGGCGGCGAAAGCGACUCUCUGGUCGGACCCUGACGCUGAGGCGCGAAAAGCUAGGGGGAGCAAACGGGG